rnacentral:rRNA from 1 species
ACGUACACUCCUACGGGAGGCAGCAGUGGGGAAUAUUGCACAAUGGGCGCAAGCCUGAUGCAGCCAUGCCGCGUGUAUGAAGAAGGCCUUCGGGUUGUAAAGUACUUUCAGCGGGGAGGAAGGCAAUACGGUUAAUAACCGUGUUGAUUGACGUUACCCGCAGAAGAAGCACCGGCUAACUCCGUGCCAGCAGCCGCGGUAAUACGGAGGGUGCAAGCGUUAAUCGGAAUUACUGGGCGUAAAGCGCACGCAGGCGGUCUGUCAAGUCGGAUGUGAAAUCCCCGGGCUCAACCUGGGAACUGCAUUCGAAACUGGCAGGCUUGAGUCUUGUAGAGGGGGGUAGAAUUCCAGGUGUAGCGGUGAAAUGCGUAGAGAUCUGGAGGAAUACCGGUGGCGAAGGCGGCCCCCUGGACAAAGACUGACGCUCAGGUGCGAAAGCGUGGGGAGCAAACAGGAUUAGAUACCCGGGUAGUCCCA